rnacentral:misc_RNA from 1 species
UCUCUUUCUGCCCAUGCCACAUAUCGCACGGAGUGUUGAGCUCUCGUGCAGCCUCUCACAAUCAAGCUCUAUCGUACCAACUCACGAUCUCCCUUUUAUUUCCUCUCAGCUCUCACUUUGCGUCGUGUGGCUCUCAUGGCACCCGGCGCCACUGACCUCCAACCUGGACGCGCAUACCGCGUGGGCCUCCUGGAGUACACCCUGGAGAAGGCUUGGUUCUGCCAGUUCUGCGUUGGCAUACUGAUCUGCGCGAACAAUGGUGCCUGCUUCUGCUUUUCCAUCUUCAGCCCCUACAUGAAGGGCGAGGGUUUCAGAUACAGCCAGUUUGAGAUCGAUGCCGUCUCCACUGUCGGAGUCCUCCUCAGCUACUUUUCGAUGCCGACUGGCUUCUUGUAUGACCGCAAAGGCCCGACCGCCACGUUGCUCGUCGGGACACUGCUCAACAUCACAGGCUGGGCAGGCAUGUACUUGAUUUUCAGCGAUGCGCUCUCCCACAGUGCGGUUGUCAUGGCGAUCUUCUACGGUCUAUCGCAGCUCUCCGCAAGCUUCUAUGAGACCGGCAGCAUACUUACUAACUUGAAGUCCUUCUCUUGCUACCAAGGGCGCGUCAUUCUGAUUCAGAAGACCUUCAUGGGCCUUGGCAGCUCCCUCGUGGCACAGGUCUACAUCGCCUUCUUUGAAAAGACCUUUUCCGGCAUCGCUCCCUUCUUCCUCUUUUUAGUGUCGUACUCCGCCUUUGCGGGGACUUUAGGUGUGCUGUAUUUGCGUCUGCCAACGCCUGCGACGAGCUGUGUUGGCAUCAACGUCGAGGACGCCGACACCCGCGCCCGCGGUGGUGGCGAGCCGCGCAUGUUCGCGCUCCCCUUCAACAUCGGCACCACCAUCCUCUGCUUCAGCGUGGCCUUCGUCUUGCUCACCUCGCUCGUAGAAAACUACGUUCAUCCCUUGAGCAAUGAAUGGCGCGUGGCCAUCGGGCUUGCCACGGUCGGCCUCUGCGUCUCCUUCACUGCUAUGAUCUUCACCACACCGAACUACGAAGUGAACCGACGCCGCGGUGCGGGCGAAGCAGGCAUGGGUGGCAUCGACGACAAGGCGCCAGCCUUGGGGGCCUCCGCGGUUCUCUUACCGCCGACGGCAGCUAAGGUCGGCAACGCUGUUGCCAUGGCCACGGAGGAUGGCCGCUGCUCCGCCGUGAAGGACGAUCUCGACGCACGCGGUGUGUUGAUGGCUGAUGCAGCUCCCCCUGCUGGGGUGACAGAUGUAUCAACGACCACAGCGACACUUGACCCAGCCUUGCCAGCACUACCGCCCGUGGGACCCAGUGUCGAGGGUGAAGACUCCCAGGAGAGCCUUGGUAUGCUAAACGAUAAACCAUUGUGGGAAAACCUACAGCACCGCGAGCUGUGGUUGCUGUGGUUCGUCUGCUUUGGGGCGUGGAGUGCCAUGACGGUGGUGUCGUCUAACAGCACACAUAUCUAUCAAGCUAUAGCACGCGGCUCCUUCUCUCUCACCGUCAACACCGUUUUUGUGUCGAUCUACGGCGUGGCGAGCGCGCUGGGCCGCAUCCUUGUCGGCGCUCUCUACCCACGGAUGGCACAGCGGCGAAUCCACGUAGCAGCGCUGCUGCUGGUCGCGCCGCUCCUCAAUGCCAUCGGACUGCCGCUCUUCCUGAUCUCCUCGGAUCGUGUCCUGUUUGUGCCGUUUUUUGUGGUCGGCCUCGGCGUAGGUUUCUCGUGGGGGAGUACGGUGCUCACCGUCACGUCUGUCUUCACCUCGUCGAACUGCGGCAAACAUUACAGCUUUCUGUAUACUGCGGGCAUGCUUUCACCGGUCAUCUUCAAUAUGGCGCUCUUCGGCCCCGUGUACGAUCAUUACCAAGCAAAGCAGGGACACGGGAAAGUUGGCUUCUGCGAGGGCGUGAUAUGCAUCACUGUGCCGUUAAUAGUGUGCAUGGUAGUGAACAUAUUUGCCGUGAUGUCGGCAUACGCGUUUUACAAGUGCAUCACAGCGCGCCUCUAGACCGGUACACACACCUUAGCCGUGGGUAGUGUUAUCGGUGACCUCGGUUGGACAACAGUUCCCACCCCUCUCCCUCACCAAAAAAAAAACGAUACGAGCGCAACAGGCACCUGCUUCGGCUGUGACAAACAAGGUACUCUUUCACCCGCGUGGUGGCAAGACGCUGGGCUUCCUUUUUUUUGUGUGUGUGUGCUUUAUCACUGCUGCUGUGUGGAAGUGCCCGUUUACCUUCUGCCUCUACCACAGCAAUACUUCCCGUUGCCGGCAUCUGCAGCUUUAGUGAAUGCAGCCGAGUACGCCACAUCAGAGCUACAGGUAGAGGCGGGAGGGAAGGAGAAGGAUGA